rnacentral:rRNA from 1 species
CAUGGCUGUCGUCAGCUCGUGUUGUGAAAUGUUGGGUUAAGUCCCGCAACGAGCGCAACCCUUAUCCUUUGUUGCCAGCGGUCCGGCCGGGAACUCAAAGGAGACUGGCAGUGAUAAACUGGAGGAAGGUGGGGAUGACGUCAAGUCAUCAUGGCCCUUACGAGUAGGGCUACACACGUGCUACAAUGGCGCAUACAAAGAGAAGCGAACUCGCGAGAGCAAGCGGACCUCAUAAAGUGCGUCGUAGUCCGGAUUGGAGUCUGCAACUCGACUCCAUGAAGUCGGAAUCGCUAGUAAUCGUAGAUCA